UACGGAGGGUGCAAGCGUUAUCCGGAUUCACUGGGUUUAAAGGGUGCGUAGGCGGGCAGGUAAGUCAGUGGUGAAAUCUCAGAGCUUAACUCUGAAACUGCCGUUGAUACUAUCUGUCUUGAAUAUUGUGGAGGUAAGCGGAAUAUGUCAUGUAGCGGUGAAAUGCUUAGAUAUGACAUAGAACACCUAUUGCGAAGGCAGCUUACUACGCAAUCAUUGACGCUGAGGCA
rnacentral:rRNA from 1 species